AGCAUCAUGUGUUCCCAUCUCUGUUCAUCUGUCAAAUGCGAAAUUGGCAGGCCAAACAUUAAAAUAAAAAAAAUAAGUAAAAACCGAAGCAGCUAAAAAAUGUCCCUAAUAAAAUAUAAAAAAUAUUGGGAUAUUGGCAACAAGAUGCAGCCGUCACAAAGCCAGCUCUUUUCAUGAAGCCUGCGUCUGAAAAGAGUUGGGAAAAACAAUAAUACAGUACACCAAAAAGAAAUAAAUCAACAAAUCUAUGGCCGAGUUUCUUUUUCCAUGGAGGUGUGUGUGUGUGCCGCCUUUAUUGCUUGUUGACAAACAAACGAAAACACAUCAGGAUGCAAUUUGUAUGAGUAUGGAAAAAUUGAAAGCGGUCAUCAUAAAACAAUCGCCUGCUGUGUGUCAUUAAAACUGAAUAAAGUACGCGAAGCAUUUUUCCACACACGAAGUGGGCAUGUUAAGCAAAAUGUAAAACAGUGAUGCUCCUGUAUGCAAAUUCUGCCUCAUUAUAAUUGUCCGGACAGACACAAACAAAUACCUGGAAUCGACAACAAAAGGGACCAAUGACAUUUGUGUCCGCAAGAAGCAAAAGGAAAUAAUGUGUGGCACCAAACAAACCGUGUCCAUUAUGAGCGGUGGCAAAUGUCUCACACAACUGGUAUAAGAAUUAAGGUGGCACAAAUGCAAUUUUGACAACAUAAGCCGGCAAAACGAAUCAUCACCCAAGUCGUAUUCACGUUAUUGGUACCAAUUGUGUUCAACAUUGAUGGCAAGGGAAUACAAAAAUCAUAAAGGAGGAAACUCUAACCAAUUGGAAAAAUAUCUACAUGUGUCCAUCAACGCGUACAAACAGCACCAUAAAAUCAGCAAAAAAAUUGUUUAUGACCGGUAGCCUGCUGUCCAAAAUAAUGCUCUGUGGAAAAAGGAUUCAAAUAUGUCAUAUACUUAUUUAGCCCAAAGUGGCAACGACAACAACUGAUAUGGAUGGGUUGUGUGAGUCCUGGAAGUCAAGUAGGAUGCUAACUAAUGAAAUGGAUAUGAACAAUAAGGUCAGGAGGAUCUACAUGGAAAUUUAAGAUAAGUCUCAUGAAAUAUCAUUAUAAAAUUAAUAUACUAAUGUCUUUUUUCUCUUUACAGGUAAAUUAUUUAAACUUCAUACUAAAGUCCCUUUUCCUCUUUCUAGGUCCUUCAAUCGCAACGGUUACUGGCAAAAAAAAAUCUCUACAACAAUGGAAUAAUCACAAUGAAUGACAACUCUAACUCCUCGUACGUCCUGUGGUGAAAAUA